GCUUGCUUGGGUCUAUGAUGACGACCUAAAUUGUCUGAAGAGAGGUGAUAAAUAAAAAAAUCAUACACCAGAGGAUUGAGCUGAGGCCCAGCCUAGGUGAGGCUUUUGCAAGAGGAAGCCGUGAUGUUGGGGCUCCUGAGCGGGCAGUCAUCUGCCAAGCUGGAGACACAGGGACCUUGGAGGGCCUCUCAGUGUGGGCGAAGCCCCAGGCAGGACUGGGCGCUCACAAGUGAGCACCCAAAGCUCACUGUGUGGGCUGGCUGUCAGGGGUCCGUUCCCCCAGGUACAGGCCACAUGGGCGGCUCCCUGAUGAGCUUGCGCACCCCCCCACACACACACCAUCGUGUAUUUCAGGGAGCCGUUCUGCCCAAGUUGGCCCUCCAGCAGGGAAGAUGGCAGGUGAAUGGUUGGCCUGGGGCUCAGCUAUGACCAGGAAAGCUGCCAUGGGGCGUGGUAGUGGCAGCUGGGGGUCAGUUGGAGGGGUGGGCGGAGCUUCAGCCUGAGGCCCUGUAAAUCUGGGGCCCAGACUCUCCCAGGCUGGUGUGAUGUGGAGACCUGAGGGAAAAGCCUGGACUCCACAGGACAGCAGCCCAGCUCAGGGACACAGGCUGUGUUUUCAUGGGGGUGGGGCACUCAGGUAGAGACCCAGUCUCCAGAACUCCCCACCUCAGGUCCAGAUAUCUGAUUGGGGCUGUGGGGAUGCACUUGGCUUCCUGGUUAGGGACCUCGUGGCCCGUGAAGUCACAGCAGUAGAUCUCACGCAACUCUGGCACUGCCACCCUGGCAUGCGUCUCGGCAACAUGGAGCAGCGAGGUGCCCUUGCUCAGUUGGCUGGCUGCAGGACACAGCCCUCCUGGUCUGGCCCAAGCCUAGUAAGCUAUCUGACAUAGGAUCAUCUACGACCCUGCCUGAGCGAGGAUCCCAAGGGGAACCGCGUCUGGUUGCGAGUGUGGAUCUGUCAUGGGGGUCCCCAAAGAGCAUGCCUGCGUGGGUCAGCCGCCACCCCACCCCAAGGGGUGCACGAAGCUUUGUGGACUGAACCCUGUCCUCCACCUCCCCCUGCAGAGAAAGGUCCCAGAGACAGAGGUCCCCUACCUUGGGCCUGCUGCUGCUGGGCAGUGGCUGUCAACCAAGAGCCCAGCAUGCUCUAGGUGGAAACUGCUAUCCCUCCUGGCCCACUGAGUCUCCUGGAUUUUGCUGUGGGAGCCAUUCUGCCCAGGUUGGCUGUCCAGCAGGGAAGAUAGCAGACGACGUCCCCGCAGACAGAUGUCCCAUUCCUUGGGCCUGGUGUCCUGGCCAGUGGCUCUCAACCAGGUGGCCAGCAUGCACUAAGUAGAAACUCAGCUCUCUCCUGGCCCUCCGGCCUCCUGCAUUGA